rnacentral:tRNA from 1 species
GGUAAAAUGGCUGAGCAAGCAUCAGACUGUAAAUCUAAAGACGGAGGUCAAAGGCUUCUUUUCACCA